CUCGCCGCCACGAGGCCGACCCCGGCCCCUCCCCGUCCCUCCGGGAGCAGCCGGAGCAGCGCGCCGGCGGGGCCUCACUUUCUUCACUUCGAAGCGCUUCUUGCCGGCGCCGCUGUUGGUGCCGCUGGGGGUGUCCACAUCCAUCGCGGCCGCCAUUUUGGGACAGAAGCAUAUCUGCGAAUUGGUACCUCUGCUCAGAUUGUAUUUUAACAACAGGACUUCACCAGUUCUCUGCAGGGCAAAGCAGUCCCCUGUGAUCCCACCAACACCCUCUUCAGGCAGCUGUCGACUUGUGCCGCCACUGAGAGCUGCUCCUGCACCCAAGUGGUUGGACUGAGGAAUCUCUUCUGUGGCAGAGGCAGACAGUAAGUCUGGCAGAAUGGAAUCAGCAACAGGGGAGAUACACCACAGGUAUGUGCCUUGUCUGCAGCUAGAGAAGGGGUUCUUUAGAGUUUCUUGAUGAAGGUCAUCUAAAAUGUUGAAGGCUUUGUUGUUUUCAAGGGACACUGCAGCAUGUGUGUAAGUCCCAGAUUAUUCAUCUCUGCAACAAGUAAGAAAAGGCCUUCAAAAACUUAGGCUCAUAG